rnacentral:misc_RNA from 1 species
GAUGAAGAACGUAGCGAAAUGCGAUAAGUAAUGUGAAUUGCAGAAUUCAGUGAAUCAUCGAAUCUUUGAACGCACAUUGCGCCCUCUGGCAUUCCGGGGGGCAUGCCUGUUCGAGCGUCAUUAUAACCACUCAAGCUCUCGCUUGGUAUUGGGGUUCGCGGUUCCGCGGCCCCUAAAAUCAGUGGCGGUGCCUGUCGGCUCUACGCGUAGUAAUACUCCUCGCGAUUGAGUCCGGUAGGUCUACUUGCCAGCAACCCCCAAUUUUUACAGGUUGACCUCGGAUCAGGUAGGGAUACCCGCUGAACUUAAGCAUAUCAAUAAGCGGAGGA